rnacentral:rRNA from 1 species
GACACUCUAUACGGAGUUACAAAGGACGACAUUAGACGAAUCAUCUGGAAAGAUGAAUCAAAGAAGGUAAUAAUCCUGUAGUCGAAAAUGUUGUCUCUCUUGAGUGGAUCCUGAGUACGACGGAGCACGUGAAAUUCCGUCGGAAUCUGGGAGGACCAUCUCCUAAGGCUAAAUACUCUCUAGUGACCGAUAGUGAACCAGUACCGUGAGGGAAAGGUGAAAAGCACCCCGGAAGGGGAGUGAAAUAGAACCUGAAACCGUGUGCUUACAAGUAGUCAGAGCCCGUUAAUGGGUGAUGGCGUGCCUUUUGUAGAAUGAACCGGCGAGUUACGAUUUGAUGCAAGGUUAAGCAGUAAAUGUGGAGCCGUAGCGAAAGCGAGUCUGAAUAGGGCGUUUAGUAUUUGGUCGUAGACCCGAAACCAGGUGAUCUACCCUUGGUCAGGUUGAAGUUCAGGUAACACUGAAUGGAGGACCGAACCGACUUACGUUGAAAAGUGAGCGGAUGAACUGAGGGUAGCGGAGAAAUUCCAAUCGAACCUGGAGAUAGCUGGUUCUCUCCGAAAUAGCUUUAGGGCUAGCCUCAAGUGAUGAUUAUUGGAGGUAGAGCACUGUUUGGACGAGGGGCCCCUCUCGGGUUACCGAAUUCAGACAAACUCCGAAUGCCAAUUAAUUUAACUUGGGAGUCAGAACAUGGGUGAUAAGGUCCGUGUUCGAAAGGGAAACAGCCCAGACCACCAGCUAAGGUCCCAAAAUAUAUGUUAAGUGGAAAAGGAUGUGGCGUUGCCCAGACAACUAGGAUGUUGGCUUAGAAGCAGCCAUCAUUUAAAGAGUGCGUAAUAGCUCACUAGUCGAGUGACACUGCGCCGAAAAUGUACCGGGGCUAAACAUAUUACCGAAGCUGUGGAUUGUCCUUUGGACAAUGGUAGGAGAGCGUUCUAAG